rfam:Populus trichocarpa scaffold_13_contig_37, whole genome shotgun sequence.
AAUGCCUUCGAAUAACCAGAAGGUCUCUUAACAAGACAAUACCGUCUGGUUCAGACAGAGGCGUACAACAAUCUGGAUCUCUUUUGAGAGGGUACGGAACUUCUAUUUCUGUGUUCCUUUUAUAGUUUGGAUUCGAAUAUUU